UACGAAGGGAGCUAGCGUUGUUCGGAAUCACUGGGCGUAAAGCGCACGUAGGCGGAUGUGUCAGUCAGGGGUGAAAUCCCGGAGCUCAACUUCGGAACUGCCUUCGAUACUGCGGGUCUCGAGUCCGGGAGAGGUGAGUGGAAUUCCUAGUGUAGAGGUGAAAUUCGUAGAUAUUAGGAAGAACACCAGUGGCGAAGGCAGCACUCUGGGACGUGACUGACGCUGAGACGCGAAAGCGUGGGGAGCAAACAGG
rnacentral:rRNA from 1 species